rnacentral:rRNA from 1 species
UUAAGCGACUAAGCGUACACGGUGGAUGCCCUGGCAGUCAGAGGCGAUGAAGGACGUGCUAAUCUGCGAUAAGCGCCGGUAAGGUGAUAUGAACCGUUAUAACCGGCGAUUUCCGAAUGGGGAAACCCAGUGUGACUCGUCACACUAUCAUUAACUGAAUCCAUAGGUUAAUGAGGCGAACCGGGGGAACUGAAACAUCUAAGUACCCCGAGGAAAAGAAAUCAACCGAGAUUCCCCCAGUAGCGGCGAGCGAACGGGGAGGAGCCCAGAGCCUGAAUCAGCAUGUGUGUUAGUGGAAGCGUCUGGAAAGGCGCGCGAUACAGGGUGACAGCCCCGUACACAAAAGCGCAUGUGCUGUGAGCUCGAUGAGUAGGGCGGGACACGUGGUAUCCUGUCUGAAUAUGGGGGGACCAUCCUCCAAGGCUAAAUACUCCUGACUGACCGAUAGUGAACCAGUACCGUGAGGGAAAGGCGAAAAGAACCCCGGCGAGGGGAGUGAAAAAGAACCUGAAACCGUGUACGUACAAGCAGUGGGAGCACCCUUUGGGGUGUGACUGCGUACCUUUUGUAUAAUGGGUCAGCGACUUAUAUUCUGUAGCAAGGUUAACCGAAUAGGGGAGCCGGAGGGAAACCGAGUCUUAAUUGGGCGUUAAGUUGCAGGGUAUAGACCCGAAACCCGGUGAUCUAGCCAUGGGCAGGUUGAAGGUUGGGUAACACUAACUGGAGGACCGAACCGACUAAUGUUGAAAAAUUAGCGGAUGACCUGUGGCUGGGGGUGAAAGGCCAAUCAAACCGGGAGAUAGCUGGUUCUCCCCGAAAGCUAUUUAGGUAGCGCCUCGUGAAUUCAUCUCCGGGGGUAGAGCACUGUUUCGGCUAGGGGGCCAUCCCGGCUUACCAACCCGAUGCAAACUGCGAAUACCGGAGAAUGUUAUCACGGGAGACACACGGCGGGUGCUAACGUCCGUCGUGAAGAGGGAAACAACCCAGACCGCCAGCUAAGGUCCCAAAGUCAUGGUUAAGUGGGAAACGAUGUGGGAAGGCCCAGACAGCCAGGAUGUUGGCUUAGAAGCAGCCAUCAUUUAAAGAAAGCGUAAUAGCUCACUGGUCGAGUCGGCCUGCGCGGAAGAUGUAACGGGGCUAAACCAUGCACCGAAGCUGCGGCAGCGACACUAUGUGUUGUUGGGUAGGGGAGCGUUCUGUAAGCCUGCGAAGGUGACCUGUGAGGGUUGCUGGAGGUAUCAGAAGUGCGAAUGCUGACAUAAGUAACGAUAAAGCGGGUGAAAAGCCCGCUCGCCGGAAGACCAAGGGUUCCUGUCCAACGUUAAUCGGGGCAGGGUGAGUCGACCCCUAAGGCGAGGCCGAAAGGCGUAGUCGAUGGGAAACGGGUUAAUAUUCCCGUACUUGGUGUUACUGCGAAGGGGGGACGGAGAAGGCUAUGUUGGCCGGGCGACGGUUGUCCCGGUUUAAGCGUGUAGGUGUGUGUUCCAGGUAAAUCCGGUUCACUUUAACACUGAGGCGUGAUGACGAGGCACUACGGUGCUGAAGCAACAAAUGCCCUGCUUCCAGGAAAAGCCUCUAAGCAUCAGGUAACAUCAAAUCGUACCCCAAACCGACACAGGUGGUCAGGUAGAGAAUACCAAGGCGCUUGAGAGAACUCGGGUGAAGGAACUAGGCAAAAUGGUGCCGUAACUUCGGGAGAAGGCACGCUGACAUGUAGGUGAAGUGAUUUACUCAUGGAGCUGAAGUCAGUCGAAGAUACCAGCUGGCUGCAACUGUUUAUUAAAAACACAGCACUGUGCAAACACGAAAGUGGACGUAUACGGUGUGACGCCUGCCCGGUGCCGGAAGGUUAAUUGAUGGGGUCAGCGCAAGCGAAGCUCCUGAUCGAAGCCCCGGUAAACGGCGGCCGUAACUAUAACGGUCCUAAGGUAGCGAAAUUCCUUGUCGGGUAAGUUCCGACCUGCACGAAUGGCGUAAUGAUGGCCAGGCUGUCUCCACCCGAGACUCAGUGAAAUUGAACUCGCUGUGAAGAUGCAGUGUACCCGCGGCAAGACGGAAAGACCCCGUGAACCUUUACUAUAGCUUGACACUGAACAUUGAGCCUUGAUGUGUAGGAUAGGUGGGAGGCUUUGAAGUGUGGACGCCAGUCUGCAUGGAGCCGGCCUUGAAAUACCACCCUUUAAUGUUUGAUGUUCUAACGUGGACCCGUGAUCCGGGUUGCGGACAGUGUCUGGUGGGUAGUUUGACUGGGGCGGUCUCCUCCUAAAGAGUAACGGAGGAGCACGAAGGUUGGCUAAUCCUGGUCGGACAUCAGGAGGUUAGUGCAAUGGCAUAAGCCAGCUUGACUGCGAGCGUGACGGCGCGAGCAGGUGCGAAAGCAGGUCAUAGUGAUCCGGUGGUUCUGAAUGGAAGGGCCAUCGCUCAACGGAUAAAAGGUACUCCGGGGAUAACAGGCUGAUACCGCCCAAGAGUUCAUAUCGACGGCGGUGUUUGGCACCUCGAUGUCGGCUCAUCACAUCCUGGGGCUGAAGUAGGUCCCAAGGGUAUGGCUGUUCGCCAUUUAAAGUGGUACGCGAGCUGGGUUUAGAACGUCGUGAGACAGUUCGGUCCCUAUCUGCCGUGGGCGCUGGAGAACUGAGGGGGGCUGCUCCUAGUACGAGAGGACCGGAGUGGACGCAUCACUGGUGUUCGGGUUGUCAUGCCAAUGGCACUGCCCGGUAGCUAAAUGCGGAAGAGAUAAGUGCUGAAAGCAUCUAAGCACGAAACUUGCCCCGAGAUGAGUUCUCCCUGAGACUUAGAGUCUCCUGAAGGAACGUUGAAGACGACGACGUUGAUAGGCCGGGUGUGUAAGCGCAGCGAUGCGUUGAGCUAACCGGUACUAAUGAACCGUGAGGCUUAACCUU